CUGGAAAAAUUCCUCGUAAGAACAUCCUGAAUGUGCAAAGUGUUGGUCAAGAAUGUCCACUGGGCGGCUUCAUUGUUACAACUCCUAAGUUCCCCGGCCUGUGUGUCCGUGAAGACCCCAGAAAAAAAUAAUGGGCCAUAAUUCUGCAGCUUUGAUGGGAAAGAAAUGGAAACUUGAAUAUAUUUUAUUUAACCCUUCAUGCAAAUUCUUAUGCAAUUCUUCUCAUCAUUUUUAUUUUCUUGAUGUGAAGCUCCAAUUCAAUGUUCUUGAAUGAUAUGAAUAAAAAAUACAUGUAAUGUA